rnacentral:rRNA from 1 species
GACGAACGCUGGCGGCGUGCUUAACACAUGCAAGUCGAGCGGAGCGGCGAACGGGUGAGUAACGCGUGAGUAACUGCCCCCCUCUCUGGGAUAACAGUUGGAAACGGCUGCUAAUACCGGAUCGUGGGGGAUGACUCGCGUCCUAUCUGCGUGUUGGUGGGGUAGUGGCCUACCAAGGCGACGACGGGUAGCCGGCAUGAGAGGGCGACCGGCCACAUUGGGCUGAGAUACGGACCAAAGGCGUACGGGGGGCAGCAGGGGGGAAUAUGGCACAGUGGGGGAACCCCUGAUGCAGAAACGCCGGGGGCGUGAUGACGGCCUUCUGGUUGGAAACCGCUUUCAGCCAUGACGCGGUAGUGGCAGAAGAAGCACCGGCUAACUACGUGCCAGCAGCCGCGGUAAUAC